UGCCGUUUGUCUGACUAGCAUUGUAUAGCUUGUUUGCAUUCGUGCAGUCGAAUCAGAUCACCGUGGGUUGACAGACACGUGACCGUUCCUUUUUUUCUGUUCUGUCCUUUUGUCUUAAUCUCGCUUUCGAUCUCUGCAGCACUCGGUGGCUAUCGGGAUUCCUCCAUGUCGCACCAUGCCAGGCAGGGUUACAGACCAGCACUAUACGUGGUAAACCUAGUGCGCGGUCUACUGUGGCAUCCACGGCCGUCAUAAGCCCAGACGGCCGGCGUCGUACGAAGGACCGUACGCGGGCAGCUGGCCCUAAUGUAUGCGCGCGGUCUACUGUGGCAUCCACGGCCGUCACCUGGCCAGACGACCGCCGUCGUACGAAGGACCGUACGCCGGCAGCUGGCUCUAAUGUAUGCGCGCGGUCUACUGUGGCAUCCACGGCCCUCGCUUGGCAGAACCUCCGACGUCGUACGAAGGCCCGUAUGCUGACAGUUGGCCCUAAUGUAUGCCCACACGUGAAGCAUCGGGAUUUCUCCAUGUCACACCGGCAGGCUGGGUGAAUGCCCAGCACAGCAUGCCGUAGAUAUUCUGGAGCGUUGGCUGUUCGGAUGUUUCCAUGUCGUACCGCCGGCAGUCCGGCCACGAGACACCAGACGUCGCCAACGUCGAAUUCUGCACAGUUUCGGAUGUCGUGACCCUUCGAAACGAUCGGGAGGAACGGCCACUGAAGGUCGGGUUUUCAUUUCAGGAACUUCGGGCGCAGUCCAGCAUCACUGCCGUGUCCUGCACAACCAUCAGCUCCUCGUAGGAGCAAACGGGAGCGGCGGCCGCCAAACCGACUGUCGUAUAAAUAAUGGGCAACUCCGCCAAGCAGGCUGCAUGGACAGACCAGCAGGGAAACGUACAGUAUGCCUUCAAUAACAUGAAGAUGUGGAGGACAGUGCAUAUUGUGUGCCUUCUAAACCUGGAAAUCUGAUUCGGAGCGUC
rnacentral:misc_RNA from 1 species